UUCAACCUAGCUCAUAAAAGAAAACAAUAUUGCAUUUCUAAGUAUUGGCUCCUAGAAUUGGCAAGUUUAGUCGAGAAAAGCUGGAAUGCCAUUAAAACAACACCCUGUCAUCUUUCAAUCAGUCCUUAGCUGAAGUUAAAAUCCCACUCAUUCUGCAUGAUCCAGCCUCUGUAGCAUAGAGUGAGUAGCCCCUUAACAAGAACCAAAAUGGAGGGUACGGAUAAGGCUUAGAUCGUCACCACCUGGAGAAUAGAGACAGUGCCUGAGUCGCCAGGAAAUCUGUCCCCUGCUCAUCCCAGAAUCCCCGAGCUUUGACUUUUUAAGAGAACAUGUGACAGAUAAUGCCAUCUGAGAAGGAUUGCCUCCUUUACUAUAUGUUUUCCACUGAGAUGAAGAUUUUGGUCAUUUCCUCAUUCAUGUUCCUGCUUUUCAAAACCCAAGCAAGAAAGGAAACUUCUACAGUGACUUUCUCAUUAUGAAAUCUUAGCAUUCACUAGUCGGCCAUAAUGGAAAACCAGCCAAAUGGACACAUAUACACUGGUCUGUACCCGCAGAGAAAGAACUGCAAAUCUCUGUGAUCAGAAAACUAUCCUAUCUUGUACAUUGUUAAAAGUCUGCCUCCAAAAAGUUUACUUCUGGAAUACUGUAAUUGAAUAGAAUCAGGGAUCCUACCUGUGUCCUUCAACUUUCACAUCUUGUCUACUCAAGUAAGGGUUGAAUUUGCAUGACUAUAUCUAAGGUUCAAGGGCUUACCUGUUGGCAGUAGACCCAGUAGUCUAUGAAUGGAAAUGGGCAAACCUGUGACCUCCCAAAACUUUAAUAUGAAAGUUUUGUUUGUGUAUACUCAUGGCAUUAUUCUUUUAAUAAAGAGAUAAUCUAUAUAGUUUUCUUUUUU